GAGUUGAAUGUCAUAUGCUUGAUGGGCGUGGGACAGUGGGGGAACCUGUAGGGGUUUGAGGGCACGCAUUGUAUCGCUGUUUCUGUCUGUUUUAGUUUUCUCUCUCUCCCUCGAUAGCGCACUGCGCACUCUUUCUGCUGCAAUUGCAAAUUCAGUGUAGAAACAAGCAACUCAACAAAGAACCUCAACCAAACGCCACCGUAUCAAUUGAUCCAAACAGUCUGUCCAGGGACGACUAUUUGUCUUCAUCACUUCAAUAACACAAGUUGGACUCCAACUUAUCCUACAUUCUCUCCUCACUUCGACCUUAUUUGCGCGCUUCUCUCAAUGGCAUUUACUACUUCAAAUCACAAAUCUGGCGGAAUUCAUGCAGGGGCAACCAAUGAUGAUUUAUGCAAGGAAUUGUGGCAUGCCAGUGCUGGUCCCCUUGUCACUCUUCCACGUGAAGGGGAGCGAGUUUAUUACUUCCCUCAAGGUCACAUGGAACAGCUUGUGGCAUCUAUGUAUGAGGGAUUAGAGCAGCAGAUGCCUUCCUUCAAUCUGCCUUCCAAAAUAUUGUGUAAAGUGGUCAAUGUUCAUCUUCGGGCUGAACCUGAAACAGAUGAAGUAUAUGCACAGAUAACUUUGCUUCCUGAAGCAGAUCAAAGUGAGGUGACCAGCCCAGAUGAUCCUCUGCCUGAAUCUCCGAGGGUCAAGGUCCAUUCGUUUUGCAAGACACUUACUGCUUCUGACACCAGUACCCAUGGAGGUUUCUCUGUUCUUCGUAGACAUGCAGACGAUUGUCUGCCUCCACUGGAUAUGUCUCAGCAGCCACCAUGGCAAGAAUUGGUUGCAACUGAUUUACAUGGGAAUGAAUGGCAUUUUAGACAUAUUUUUCGAGGGCAACCUAGGCGCCACUUGCUUACCACCGGGUGGAGUGUCUUUGUCAGCUCCAAAAAAUUAGUGGCUGGUGAUGCCUUUAUAUUCUUAAGGGGUGAAAAUGGAGAGCUGCGAGUUGGGGUUAGGAGGCUCAUGAGACAACAAAGCAAUGUGCCUUCUUCAGUUAUAUCUAGUCACAGCAUGCAUCUUGGUGUUCUGGCUACUGCAUCUCAUGCCAUUGCCACUGGAACACUGUUUUCUGUGUUUUACAAGCCCAGAACAAGCCGCUCAGAGUUUAUUGUGAGUGUCAACAAGUAUCUAGAAGCUCAGAGUCAUAAGCUCUCUGUUGGGAUGAGAUUCAAAAUGAGAUUUGAGGGUGAUGAAAUUCCUGAAAGAAGGUUCAGUGGCACAAUAGUGGGUGUUGGAGAUAAUAAAUCAACAGUCUGGCCUGAUUCUGACUGGCGAUCAUUAAAGGUGCAAUGGGAUGAACCGUCAUCAAUUUUGCGUCCUGAUAGAGUUUCUUCAUGGGAAUUGGAGCCACUUUUGUCUACCACUCCUGCAAACCCACAGCCAACUCAAAGAAACAAGAGGGCACGACCUCUAAUUCUACCUUCUUCAAUGGCUGAUUCUUCUAUGCAAGGCGUAUGGAAAUCACCAAUAAUGGAAUCUACAUCUUUCUCUUAUUGUGACCCCCAACUUGGACGUGGCCUCUAUCCAUCACCCAAGUUCAAUUCUACUGCAACUAACUUUCUUGGUUUUAGUGGGAAUAGCUCUGUGGGACAUCCUUCCAACAAAUCAAUAUAUUGGUCUAAUAGGAUGGAAAAUUCCAUGGAAUCUAUUUCAGCUAUAGCCCUCAAAGAAGCUGGAGAGAAGAGACAAGGCACUGGAAAUGGUUGUAGACUCUUCGGGAUUCAAAUACAUGAGAAUUCUAAUGCAGAAGGAAGUCUACAACCAGUCACUUUAGAUGCCGAGUCUGAUCAGAAUUCUGAACCAUCAAAUGCCAAUCGAUCUGAUAUUCCUUCAGUAAGUUGUGAUGCUGAAAAAUCAUCCCUGCAGUCUCCCCAGGAGUCACAAAGCAAGCAAAUAAGGAGCUGUACCAAGUAUUUUUCUAGGUUCACAUGCAAGGAAUGGCUGUUGGGAGGGCUGUGGAUUUAACACGAUUUGAUGGAUAUGAGGAUCUGCUCAGGAAAUUGGAAGAGAUGUUUGACAUCAAGGCUGAGCUUUGUGGGUCCCAAAAAAAAUGGCAGGUUGUCUACACUGAUAAUGAAGAUGACAUGAUGAUGGUUGGAGAUGAUCCAUGGAAUGAGUUCUGUACUGUUGUGAGGAAAAUUUUCAUCUACACUGCAGAGGAGGUGAAGAAGCUUUCGCCCAAAAUAGGACUUCCGAUCAAUGAAAAAGAUAAGCCAAGCAAGCUGGAUUCUGAAGCAAUCGUCAAUCCUGAGGACCAGUCGUCUAUUGUGGGACCCAGUUGCUAGAAGUCCCUCAAAUUCCAGUGUAUCCCAGUUGUUGUAUAUGCAAUAAAUCUGAUAUGGAAGUAGAACAAGGGGAGAAGCGAAAAUGAACUUGGUCAGCACUUCAAAAUGGCCAAUAGGAGCAUACCACUUGAGUAUUUUGCAGCUAGGCUUUCAUGGCAUCAUCAUCUUUUGACAGACAGCAAACAUUGAUGCUGAGGGUUGUGUUUGAGUCUUUGAGAUACUGCUGUUUGAUCUUGCCUGGAAUGAAAGGUGUGCUUUCGGAUAUCGUGGUUUUUCUAUUUCUUCUACAGCUUGGGAGUUAGUGGUCCAUGCUCAUUCGGUUUCUGUUGGUGCGCGGGCACCAACAUAUCUGUAUGUGUCUUUACUCUCAAUUAUCAUGCCAUGCAUGGCAUGAUAUAUGAUUUUUUUUGGAGGGGUGGGUGUUCUUUUGUAAUUCACUCAAUGUGAUGCAUGCCAUUUUUGUAUAUAAGUAUUUAUAUUUAUAAUCUUUGAAUACUGAUGUAUGUACGAGGCAUAACCCUCCUCCCUUCUCCCAUCGACAGUUAUAACAAUUUGGUCUUGGAGUGUUUUUAGUUUUUAUAUUUACUAUAUUUGUAACUCACGAUUGGCUGGAUGUUGAAUAAUGGAAAAGGAAAUUAUGACUUUUGUUAAUA